rnacentral:rRNA from 1 species
GUAAGGGAUAUUGCGCAAUGGGCGGAAGCCUGACGCAGCAACGCCGCGUGCCCGAGGAAGGCCUUCGGGUCGUAAAGGGCUUUUCUGGCUGAAGAGAGCGGACGGUAAGCCAGGAAAAAGUGUCGGCUAACUACGUGCCAGCAGCCGCGGUAAAACGUAGGACGCGAGCGUUAUCCGGAGUUACUGGGCGUAAAGGGCGGGCAGGCGGACGGGCAAGAGGGCUGUGAAAUCUCCCGGCUCAACCGGGAGGGGACAGUCGUGACUGCCCGACUGGAGGGCAGCAGAGGAGCGUGGAAUUCCGGGUGGAGUGGUGAAAUGCGUAGAGAUCCGGAGGAACACCAGAGGCGAAAGCGGCGCUCUGGGCUGCGCCUGACGCUGAACCGCGAAAGCCAGGGGAGCGAACGGGAUUAGAUACCCUAGUAGUCC